GACGAACGCUGGCGGCGUGCUUAACACAUGCAAGUCGAGCGGUAAGGCCCGUUUCGGGGGUACACGAGCGGCGAACGGGUGAGUAACACGUGGGUGACCUGCCCUCAGCUCUGGGAUAAGCCUGGGAAACCGGGUCUAAUACCGGAUAUGACUCCAUGACGCAUGUGUGGGUGAAAGCCUUGUGCGGCUGAGGAUGGGCCCGCGGCCUAUCAGCUUGUUGGUGGGGUGAUGGCCUACCAAGGCGACGACGGGUAGCCGGCCUGA
rnacentral:rRNA from 1 species